rnacentral:rRNA from 1 species
UACGAAGGGGGCUAGCGUUGCUCGGAAUUACUGGGCGUAAAGCGCACGUAGGCGGAUCCUUAAGUCGGUGGUGAAAUCCUGAAGCUCAACUUCAGAACUGCCUUCGAUACUGGGGACCUUGAGUUCGGGAGAGGUGAGUGGAACUGCGAGUGUAGAGGUGAAAUUCGUAGAUAUUCGCAAGAACACCAGCGGCGAAGGCGGCUCACUGGCCCGAUACUGACGCUGAGGUGCGAAAGCGUGGGGAGCAAACAGG